rnacentral:rRNA from 1 species
UACGGAGGGGGCUAGCGUUGUUCGGAAUUACUGGGCGUAAAGCGCGCGUAGGCGGAUUGGAAAGUUGGGGGUGAAAUCCCGGGGCUCAACCCCGGAACGGCCUCCAAAACUAUCAGUCUUGAGUUCGAGAGAGGUGAGUGGAAUUCCGAGUGUAGAGGUGAAAUUCGUAGAUAUUCGGAGGAACACCAGUGGCGAAGGCGGCUCACUGGCUCGAUACUGACGCUGAGGUU